UGGAGUGACAUUCUGGUUCACUUUAAUUAGCUGUUGCCUAGUAAACUAUGAAUCCCUGCAUUUGCACAGAUGCUGGGAUUUAAUGUUUUUUUUUUCUAAUUUUCUAAUUAAGGCUAUACAAGAUGGUCCAAUAUACAAUGACUGAAGAAUUUCAAAUCAGCACUGUUUCAAAACUGAUCUGAAAGAAUCGCUCUCAUGUGAAAAGCUCAAAAGAUCGGCGGUAGAAAUGACGAGGAGGCUUCUGAGGUAACCUUGAACCGUUUAUUCGAGCAAGAACGUAACGAACAUCAACUUAUUAUAGAGAUUGAAAGUUCUUGUUGCGUGGCAGAAGGAAGACUGGAACUCAUGGCAGGUCUACACCACAGAAGCUAUGUGUCCAAUUGCUCCUGCAGUCACAAACAAAUUUGAUGUAAAGGAUAGUGCAUGACAGAAGCUUGAUUUUUAAAAAACGGAAUAUCAAUCUUCCUGGAAAUUAGUAUUUCCAUGUUAAAACACAGAAAUCAAGGUUAUACAAAUCAGGUAUGCAGUCUUUUUCUAACCAAGCCAAAGUAAAAGAGGAUGCUUAGAAAUUGUUUAAGGCACUUAAAAUAUUUGAUUGUAAAUGUGUUAACAGCAGCCAGAAUUGUAUUUGCAAAAA